rnacentral:rRNA from 1 species
AGUGAACGCUGGCGGCAGGCCUAACACAUGCAAGUCGAGCGGCAGCGCGUCCGACCACCCUCGGGUGGUCGGAUGGCGGCGAGCGGCGGACGGGUGAGGAAUGCAUCGGAAUCUGCCUCGUUGUGGGGGAUAACGUAGGGAAACUUACGCUAAUACCGCAUACGACCUACGGGUGAAAGUGGGGGACCUUCGGGCCUCACGCGAUGAGAUGAGCCGAUGCCGGAUUAGCUAGUUGGCGGGGUAAAGGCCCACCAAGGCGACGAUCCGUAGCUGGUCUGAGAGGAUGAUCAGCCACACUGGAACUGAGACGCGGUCCAGACUCCUACGGGAGGCAGCAGUGGGGAAUAUUGGACAAUGGGGGCAACCCUGAUCCAGCCAUGCCGCGUGUGUGAAGAAGGCCUCGGUUGUAAGCACUUUGUU